rnacentral:rRNA from 1 species
GUGAACGCACCACUGGUGUUCGGGUUGUCAUGCCAAUGGCAUUGCCCGGUAGCUAAGUGCGGAAAAGAUAAGCGCUGAAAGCAUCUAAGCGCGAAACUUGCCUCAAGAUGAGUCUUCCCUGGGCCUUCAAGGCCCCUGAAGGAACGUUUAAGACUAAGACGUUGAUAGGCUGGGUGUGUAAGUGCAGCGAUGCAUUGAGCUAACCAGUACUAAUGAUCCGUGAGGCUUAACCUUACAACACCGAAGGUGUUU